AACAGCAGUACAAGUAAAUUAGUUUAAUUUGCACCUAAAAUUAGGUGCAAUGGGUCCAGGAGUCAGUUCACUCAGAAAGGCUUUAGUAUAUUCUGAUGGUUCAGGAGAAACGCAGCACUUACAUAUAUGGGGUGUAUGACUUUAAAUCUGCUAAAGGCAGAGUCAAACUUUCUACACACCAAAUAAUCUACUUUUAACUCAAAGAUUUAAACUGUAAGGGUGAUAUAGGAAAACAGUAUGAGGAACUGUUUCCUAUUUGUAACAUAAAUUGUCACAAUUAUAUACGGUGUGUGUGUGUCCCUAAAUCUGUAACAAACAGAAUAAGGCAAAGUAUAUACCGAAUGGUGUACUCUAUGACAAAAGAUGAAAACUUUAUGUAAUAGACAUACAGUAUCUAUGACUGUGUUCUGAAAGUAACUAUCACUUAAAAUAAUAAAUGUUGGAAUAAAUAAAAUAAAAUAAAAUUAAUACAACGUUUAUUGGGCAUAUUGGUUAAAUUAAAAACACUAAAAAUAUAUUCAGAUCAUACCAAUAAUUAAAAAAUAUGAGCCAGGAACGUAUUGCAAGAAUAUUACCAGCAAUUGGGCAGUUCUUGAAUCAAAUAAACCGCAGGACCGUCCAGGAUGGAUGUGGAUACAGUGUUGCAUAAACUGUAAUUUACUUGUACUGCUGUUUAUAUAGCUUUUAUAGAUGUAGAUCAGUGCGAGCCACAGCUAGGGUUUCCUUGCUUAGCAUGGCGGCAACUGUCCACCUUGG